GACGAACGCUGGCGGCGUGCCUAAUACAUGCAAGUCGAACGAGAGCGACCGGUGCUUGCACUGGUCAAUCUAGUGGCGAACGGGUGAGUAACACGUGGGUAACCUGCCCAUCAGAGGGGGAUAACAUCCGGAAACGGAUGCUAAAACCGCAUAGGUCUUCGAGCCGCAUGGCUUGAAGAGGAAAAGAGGCGCAAGCUUCUGCUGAUGGAUGGACCCGCGGUGCAUUAGCUAGUUGGUGAGGUAACGGCUCACCAAGGCCGUGAUGCAUAGCCGACCUGAGAGGGUGAUCGGCCACAUUGGGACUGAGACACGGCCCAAACUCCUACGGGAGGCAGCAGUAGGGAAUCUUCCGCAAUGGACGCAAGUCUGACGGAGCAACGCCGCGUGAGUGAAGAAGGUUUUCGGAUCGU
rnacentral:rRNA from 1 species